GCCCGGAUGGCGAAAUUGGUAGACGCAAGGGACUUAAAAUCCCUCGACCGUACAGGUCGUGCCGGUUCGACUCCGGCUCCGGGCACCA
rnacentral:tRNA from 1 species